GAAGACAUGUAGGUGGGAAACGCAGAACACCUGGCAUGGAACAUGCGGACAGUAAUCAUCUAUACACAAGGCAGCAAGCGACGAGAACAGGAGAAAAGUCAGCUGAAUGAAGACUAACACAUACAACGGCGAGUGGGGUACGCUAUUUGUGUUCCAUGCUCUGAGGUGACGGAGACCACUAUAUGCCUGUCGACACCCUCAUCCAUCAGAAGUGUGAAUUCAGUUGGGCACGAGAUUAAGCAAGAUGCCAACUGUUCCCAAGACUCACAUAAACUAAAGCAAGGUGAUUGGGUGGUCACUAAGAAAAAGAAAGUCUCUUGAACCCAGAUUCAAAGGACCGUUUUAAGUUCUGUUGACUACCGCCACUUCAGUCACGUUGAGUGGAAGAGACUCAUGAAUAGACGCAUCUCAUUGCAAGAAAGUGACAAAGGAAGUAUUAUCCAAUCACGAUACAUAAUCAAAAUAUAUAGAUACAAUUUAAGAGGCCCCAGGCCAUAUAAGGGUCUGGGGGAUGUAUAAUGUGUUACUCAGUUCUUCUUGUUGGCAUGGUUAUUCUUAUAUAAACAGUAAUGAUUGAUCCUUACUUAUAUGAGGAGUCAAGUGAUAGUGCAAUAAUCAGUAACUAUGCCAAAAAUAACAGAACAAAAAGGAAUAUAUAUACACAACUAACUACCCUUACUCCACCUGAAAUGUCUACACAUAGGAUGUCAACAAUUACCCAGGUAAAGACAUAUAGGCAUAAAAGAUGCUGGUCAUUACAUGUAAAACAGGACCAAUAUAAAUAGUUGUCACCAAUUGUUUACUGUAUCUGCAGGCUAUUGUGUCACUUUGCAGACCAUGUAUGGAGUAAAAUGUUGUACUUAUUUAAUAAAUUAUACUAGCCCAGAAGAUAUUAUUGAUGAAAAGAUGAAUGAAGUAAUACAGUCGAAAAAUCAGUUCGCUACUAAUCAUAAUUAUACCAGUGUAUUUCCAGAUUCUUUCUUUUCUUGGUUUUAUAAACACUAUACAACCAAUUGCAUUUCAGGAAUAUUAUCUAUUGUUGCUAAGGGACUUGUUUUGCUAUUAAUUGCAUAUUUUAAGGCUUAUUAUGUGGAUACUGACACUAAAAUGUUUUUCUACCUAAGGCAUUGCUGAAACUGCUAAACCGCAACCAAUUUAUAUGAAACUUAUUGGAGGAGCUAUAAUAUACAAUUCCACAUUCUUCUACUGUGAGACCUGCCAUACCAGAUACACAGAAGCUUCCAGCUGUCCCUACUGUUAUGAUGACGUAAUCUAAUGAACUUUGCUGUCACAAUAUUGAGUCAAAAAGACUUUCAAGGACUAUUGAGCAAGGACUAUGGACAUUAUGAUGAUUCCAUCUUCAGAAGAUACCUCUAAUUUAUGAACUCUUAUAAUAAUUUAAAAGUUAGGGAUAAGAGAAUAGGGAACAUUGAUUCUGCAUGAGUAUAGGGGUGUUGAAUGGAUUAGCCCAUGUCUCGAGUGCCCUUAAGGCACACUUGAUGUGAAAGUAGGUGUCCCUAUAGAAUCAAUGGCCAGGUAAAGGAAGGGUAGAAUAGAGGUAAAAAUUGUAAACAAAGAGGGGAAAUUGAUAAAGAUGGAAACCAUCUUUGUUCAUAGACUCCAUAUUGCUAAGCUGUUUAUAAUUGUUUAUCAGAUCAGAGUUGAUAUUGGAAAGAACUGCAAGGCGUUGCACUUUGAGUGAACUAUAUUGAAACCUUCUUAUGAUCUAUUUUUAUUACUUUUCUGAGUAAAAUAUAAAUGUCAGCAGCUAGACAUAUAGGCUUCACAGGUGUCCAGUAGUUUGCGGUAUGGAAGGUGUGAAAACAUAACUAGACAUAGCAUGUCUCACUUUUAGCAAAAUUCCCCUAACUAACCCAUUUAAAAGCACAUACAGUAUAAAAAAUAUAGACGUUGGCAAAUAUAUUACGUAUAAGAUAGGAGUUUUAUUAACCAAUAGGAUUAAGCUUUGUGUAAGGAAAUUACGACACUGUAUGCAAAUAUGUAUUCCUUUAUAAUAUGCUUUUUCCAGGAAAUAAAAUCUGCUUCUGCUUCUGCUAUUUCCUACUUCACUCUCUUUAUUUAACUGGUAACUGGCUGCAGCCAUGAAUGAACCUGAUGCUGACCGAUUGAGUGUGUGCUUGAGCUUGGAUCAGCGAGGGGUGCCCUGUCCUGGGGUUACCUUUAUCACUGGUGUCUAUCAGUUGGUGGCAGAGUCCUCCUCUUUGCUCCUCAAGCAGUUUACAGCCUCCCCAGAUGGGUGGAUUGAG